GUGAACUCCACACCAUACGAACUUUUCCUCACACCCGUUGGAUCAGAAAUCGACGGUCGGAUUUAAUUUUUUGCGUUUUUAAUUAGGUGGAGUAAUGUUAUAGGGUUUUAAAUUAUUUAUAGGGUACAGUAGUUUAUAGGUUACAAAGUUUUUUUAGGUUCCUAGGAAUAGGGCUUUGGUUUCUCCGUCGAUUUUUGGUAAAUAGGGUUUUCGUUUGCGUUUCCAUUCGUUGUUCGUCCUUCUUCAGUUGUUCGUCUUUCUUCUGCUGUUGUUCGUCUUUCCUUCAUUCUGCUGCUGUUCUUCUUCUGUUCUCGAUUAAGUAAGUACGAUUUUCCUUCAGAUUAUUGGGUUUUCGGACAUUCGAAAACCAUCUUUCGCCGGCUUCUCUGUGUUUCCGUCGGUUUUCGUUCAUUCGACAUAGUUGUCGUUAAGAUUUGUUUCUCUGUGUUUCCGAUUUUGUGGUAAAUAAGAUUUUUUUACAAUUUAGUUGUGUUUCCGAUUUAUUUAUGUUUCCGUUUUGUUUCUCUGUCGUUCUUCGUUUCACCCCUCCCGUUUCCACAUCCUCCAUCUUGUUUUCUCGUUGAAACACAGCGAUUCUCUCAAGGAACUGGGGUCAAACAAACAUGGGAAAAUCUCAGAUCUGGUUUUCCGUCGAAUCUAGUUAAGUUCUUCUAUCCUUCUUGCCCUGCUCGGUUCUUGCCGAUAAUGAGGUUCUCAUCCUCAUUGAAGAAAAUUUUGAGAAGGAAGUCGGUAAAAACCGGGGCGCUCUCGUCUGAUAAUUUUAAGACGUUCUAGUUUUUAGUACCUUGUGUUGGUCCGUGUCUUUACUGUUAUUAUCUUCUGCUGUGGUCGUCGUCGAUGAAUUGUUUUUAUGUUUUUACUCACCGUUACUAAUCAAUCCUCUGUGUUUCACUAUUCUAUCACGUUUUCUAUUAGGUCUCAUUGAUAUUAAUCUACUGGAUUUGGUUGCAUUCCUUAUUCAUACGGUAUUAUUGUUUUCUAAUUUUUUAAACAGGUUAUCAAUCUACUUGUAAUUUUGGAAACAUUAAUGUGCAGACUGUUUCUUAAAUUAGGAAAAUCUGUUCUAGAUUCCGAGGUAUAUGUGAGCUUUGUUUACUACUUAUUAUAACUUUAUAUGUUGUUUUUUCUUUUGCCUAAUUUUUAGUGAUUCAUCUUUUUGUUUUGUUUUUGGUACUAAACAGUUCCUUACGGCAACUUUUCCCUUAUUAUGAAACCAUUAUCAUCAUGGGAAAUAUAAAAGUAUUUUAUUUUUUGCUUUUUAUUGCUGUAGAAUUUUUUAACAUUCAUUGUUUUGGGAAUAAUUUGACAUCAACAAUUGUAAUUCAUUAAUUUUUUAAUCACGUUCAUAUAGUCUUUUUUUUUGAAUUAACAUAUAUAUAGUCUUUUCUAUUUUUAAUUGUCCUUAUGUUUUUAUUGUGUUUUUUUGUGUUUCUUUUGCUCUCUUCAGGGGGAGUACUGGUGAGACAUGUCUGAUUACGUCAGUCACUCCCAACAACGUCAUUCAACAAGGACUAGGGUUCCGUCGUUUUAUGCCGAACCCUCGGAGAGCUCCACGGUUGCGAAACAAGUGUCUACGUCAAGUACUCAAAUCAACACUAGGAAUCGACGAUUGAGACUGUCAAGGGUAUACAUGCAAAUAACUCCAUAAAAUACAAAUAAAUAAAUCAUAGAUACAUAAAGGGUAUACAUGCAAAUAACUCCAUAAAACUAUCUAUAUAUAUGUCAGCUGUAACUCAGU
rnacentral:lncRNA from 1 species